CGCCGCUGGGCAGUGCAACAGCACAAUAGUAUUGCACCUUUAUACCCGCUACGCACAAUCUAUUAACCUUGGUCCGCUAGACGCUUGUUGUUUCGUCGGGUUCGGCCGUCGUUAAAGUUACGCUGCUGGGAGAGGGGAGGGAGGCUCGAGGUAGAUAGCGAUCGAUGACGUCGUACGGUUGGAGGUGACCGUCCGCGGAGACGAUACGGAACUAUUACGGGUUAUGGGCUACUAUUAUGGGCUAUCCCACACGGACGCGAAAAAUAUCGCAAACGCCGCGCGUUCCUUGUACGGUCGCAACU